CCUUUGCCCUUAAUGACCCAUAAUAAAAUGCUCUUGUUACCAAGCUCUGCUGCCAACCAUGCAGGUUGCCAUGGUAACACCAGCUGCUCCUCCACACAGUUGCUUAGUGAUCAGUGUGAUGUCAGGCUCUUGAGAUAACCACCAGCUCAGACAAAUCUUUACAGUCACAGUGACAGUCCACUGGGUCUUCAGUUAUGACUGAGCAAGGACUCUGGUGUCCAGGUAUAAUUAAAAUACACUCAGACCUAGACUGGAAAAGCCUUCAGCACAGAAUGAGGUCAUCUUUUAAAUUUCACUAUUCACUUUCACUUCUCCACAUGACUGCUUGGUUGGAGCUGAAAAAACAUGACAUCGAACAGUUGGACAGAACUGUACAGGAAAACAUCAACUCUCCAAAAUUUACUUUAUGCAACUGACAUCUCCUAAGCAACAAACGGCUGAAAUUCUUUUCAAAAUCUGCAAGACUUCGUUAUUUUAGGAAAGCCUAGCUUUAAUUACUGUAGAAUGCUUUCUAAUGCUCAAAGACCACCUAAACUCAUUUGAUGCCCUUUUAAACUUUGUUCUGCUAUUAUUAUUUAGAGGAUGAAAUAGAUUUAAAGAGGGUUAUUUGCCCCAAAUAAGUAGUGGAAUUGAAACUUGAACUCAGAUCUUCCAAAUACAACUUACUACUCCUAGACAUGACUGGAGAGAGCUUUUAU
rnacentral:lncRNA from 1 species